rnacentral:rRNA from 1 species
UACGUAGGCAGCAAGCGUUGUUCGGAGUUACUGGGCGUAAAGAGUGUGUAGGUGGUCCUCUAAGUUUGGUGUGAAAUCUCCCGGCUCAACUGGGAGGGUGCGCCGAAAACUGGGGGGCUUGAGUGUGGGAGAGGAAAGCGGAAUUCCUGGUGUAGCGGUGAAAUGCGUAGAUAUCAGGAGGAACACCGGUGGCGAAGGCGGCCUGCUGGGCAGUAGCUGACACUGAGGCGCGACAGCGUGGGGAGCAAACAGG